GUGUGCUCCAAUGUAGAGUGUGCUCCAAUGUAGAGUGUGCUCCAAUGUAGAAUGUGCUCCAAUGUAGAGUGUGCUCCAAUGUAGAAUGUGCUCCAAUGUAGAGUGUGCUCCAAUGUAGAAUGUGCUCCAAUGUAGAGUGUGCUCCAAUGUAGAGUGUGCUCCAAUGUAGAAUGUGCUCCAAUGUAGAGUGUGCUCCAAUGUAGAGUGUGCUCCAAUGUAGAAUGUGCUCCAAUGUAGAGUGUGCUCCAAUGUAGAGUGUGCUCCAAUGUAGAGUGUGCUCCAAUGUAGAGUGUGCUCCAAUGUAGAAUGUGCUCCAAUGUAGAGUGUGCUCCAAUGUAGAGUGUGCUCCAAUGUAGAAUGUGCUCCAAUGUAGAGUGUGCUCCAAUGUAGAAUGUGCUCCAAUGUAGAGUGUGCUCCAAUGUAGAGUGUGCUCCAAUGUAGAGUGUGCUCCAAUGUAGAAUGUGCUCCAAUGUAGAGUGUGCUCCAAUGUAGAAUGUGCUCCAAUGUAGAGUGUGCUCCAAUGUAGAGUGUGCUCCAAUGUAGUGUGCAUAUCCUGUGUGGCUCAGUUGGUAACGUUGAAGUGUGACGCUAACAACGCCAGGGUUGUGGAUUCGUAUCCCGCUUUGGGGGCACAUAAUAUAAAAUAUAUACACUCUCUGGAAAUUGCUUUGGAUAAAAGAGUCUAAUAAAUAGCAUCAGAUAAAAUAUAAUGGAAGGUGUGCCUUUAAGAAAUAGAACGUGUCUGUGAUGGAAGGUGUGGUGCCUUUAAGAAAUAGAAUGUGUCUGUGAUGGAAGGUGUGGUGCCUUUAAGAAAUAGAACGUGUCUGUGAUGGAAGGUGUGGUGCCUUUAAGAAAUAGAACGUGUCUGUGAUGGAAGGUGUGGUGCCUUUAAGAAAUAGAACGUGUCUGUGAUGGAAGGUGUGGUGCCUUUAAGAAAUAGAAUGUGUCUGUGAUGGAAGGUGUGGUGCCUUUAAGAAAUAGAACGUGUCUGUGAUGGAAGGUGUGGUGCCUUUAAGAAAUAGAACGUGUCUGUGAUGGAAGGUGUGGUGCCUUUAAGAAAUAGAACGUGUCUGUGAUGGAAGGUGUGGUGCCUUUAAGAAAUAGAACGUGUCUGUGAUGGAAGGUGUGGUGCCUUUAAGAAAUAGAACGUGUCUGUGAUGGAAGGUGUGGUGCCUUUAAGAAAUAGAACGUGUCUGUGAUGGAAGGUGUGGUGCCUUUAAGAAAUAGAACGUGUCUGUGAUGGAAGGUGUGUUGUAUUUAAGAAUAGCUGGGUUGUAGCUGUAUGUUAUUCAGCAUGAAUGUGAUUUUCCCAGUAGCAUCUGGCUCUUGUGUAAGAGACUAUGGUCAGAGGGCACAGACCUUUCUAUACACACACACACACACACACACACACACACACACACACACACACACACACACACACACACACACACACACACACACACACACACACACACACACACACACACACACACACACACACACACACACACACACACACACAC